AACUAAAGGGGGUGUGAGUGAUUGCUGGGCCCAGACUAGAAGGAGACUAGUCUGUAAAAAGAAGCUUACUUGAACUGGUGAGGUUUUAUCUCUAUUCAGUUUUCUUAGACAUAGACUUGCAUCUUCUAUUUUAUUUGGCUUAAUAAUUUAAUUUGUUCUGUCUGCUAU